rnacentral:rRNA from 1 species
UCAGAACGAACGCUGGCGGCGCGUUUAAGCAUGCAAGUCGAGGGGUAGAGAAUCUUCGGGUUCUUGAGACCGGCGAACGGGUGAGUAACACGUAGGUGAUCUGCCACGAGGUUGGGGAUAGCCCAUGGAAACAUGGGGUAAUACCGAAUGAGCUCUUUUUACUAUGGUGAGAAGAGGAAAAGCGCUUCGGCGCUGCCUUGUGAUGAGCCUGCGGCUGAUUAGCUAGUUGGUGGGGUAACGGCCUACCAAGGCAACGAUCAGUAGCCGGCCUGAGAGGGUGAUCGGCCACACUGGGACUGAGAUACGGCCCAGACUCCUACGGGAGGCAGCAGCUAAGAAUCUUCCGCAAUGGACGAAAGUCUGACGGAGCGACGCCGCGUGGGUGAAGAAGGCCGAGAGGUUGUAAAGCCCUUUUCUGUCUGAGGAAUAAGCUUGGGAGGGAAUGCCCGAGUGAUGACGGUAGGACAGGAAUAAGCCCCGGCUAAUUACGUGCCAGCAGCCGCGGUAACACGUAUGGGGCGAGCGUUGUUCGGAAUUAUUGGGCGUAAAGGGCGCGUAGGCGGAUAUACAAGUCUGGUGUGAAAGACCGCAGCUUAACUGCGGGAGCGCGCUGGAAACUGUAUGUCUUGAAUCCUUGAGGGGAAACUGGAAUUCCUGGUGUAGGGGUGAAAUCUGUAGAUAUCAGGAAGAACAUCGGUGGCGAAGGCGAGUUUCUGGCAAGUGAUUGACGCUGAGGCGCGAAAGCGUGGGGAGCAAACAGGAUUAGAUACCCUGGUAGUCCACGCUGUAAACGAUGUGCACUAGGCGUUGGGGUGUUGAAACCUCAGUGCCGGAGCUAACGUGGUAAGUGCAC